rnacentral:rRNA from 2 species
GGAUGCGAUCAUACCAGCACUAAAGCACCGGAUCCCAUCAGAACUCCGAAGUUAAGCGUGCUUGGGCGAGAGUAGUACUAGGAUGGGUGACCUCCUGGGAAGUCCUCGUUUUGCAUUCC